UGCCAUCUUUGAAAGCAGAUUCCAUUGUGAAAGUCGAUCGUUUUGAGGUUGCUAGGUGCUCCAAGUGAUUGCGAACACAAACCUAGAAAUUGGUAAACAUAGCAUAUUUGGCAGCUCCAAGCAAGAUUACAAUCAGGCAAAUUCAAGUGGAAUGACAUACCAACAACUGAAACUGCCUCUGUCAUGGAUAGCUCUCUCCCAAGAAUUGCAUUGACUAUGGUUUCUGGGAAGAAAAAGAUCUUGCUCCUGAAAAAAGACCGUGACAACCCUGUUGUAAGAUUUUAGUUUGUGCAGAACAAAAAACCUUGAUUUAUUUUCUAUUUAGUAUAGUGAUAGUUGUUGACAAUCAUUAGUUAUUUGCCAAUAUGUUUUUUAUGCGGCAUUUCAGAACUCUCCAUUCCAAGCGGAACAGCAGAUGGAAGCUAAUUUUUCUGGAAGCUCCUCGACUUCAAGACAGAAUCAGAAGAUAGAUGUUGGUGGGAGGUUAAUCAAGGGAAUACUUCAGAGAAGUGAGACGGCCUAGCCAGACUUCAUCUUUUAUACAGCCUGAGCAAAGAGUGGAACCCACAAAACACAAGAGAAGAAAAAACAAAACACGAAAUUAACAGAUUCAGAUCUUCUCUCUUGCAUGUCUAACAUCUGGCGCCGACGAAACUCAACACCCACGGCAGACGAAGCUGAUGCAAGUAAACCUCUCAUUAAUCAUGCUUAAAAUCAAUCUACGCUUUUCAAUCUCACAAACUAAUAAAUAAUUUUAUCUACAUGAAUCGGGAAAUUAGUGCCCACAUUCCCGACAUAGAGAAAAAAAGAGUUGAAGUCCUAACAGUUUUUUCAGUAUUAGACUAAACCACAUAUUCAAGGCCCACUUAUUUUCAAAUCCUAACAUUUUAAAUCCAAAUUUAUUAUCUUUUUCCAUGCACUAUUUGAUUUAUAUACAAACAACUACCUAAGUAAACACUAACAAGUUCCAUCACCCUCAACUUUGAACAUAUAAGAUAUAAAAAUAUCAACAUAUGACUUCGUCGUUCAUUCUUAUAUUAAACUCAUCAACCUAUGUAAUAUCCAAAGUCCCAUCAAUCACAUUAUAGACAAAAAAACAAUAAAAUCCCGUAAACAAAACUAUA